rnacentral:rRNA from 1 species
UACGUAGGGUGCAAGCGUUGUCCGGAAUUAUUGGGCGUAAAGAGCUCGUAGGCGGUUCGUCGCGUCGGCUGUGAAAACCCGGAGCUCAACUCCGGGCCUGCAGUCGAUACGGGCGGACUUGAGUGUUGCAGGGGAGACUGGAAUUCCUGGUGUAGCGGUGAAAUGCGCAGAUAUCAGGAGGAACACCGGUGGCGAAGGCGGGGUCUCUGGGCAACUACUGACGCUGAGGAGCGAAAGCCAGGGGAGCAAACGGG